AGCAGUCGCCACGGGAAUACGUAGGGCGCAAGCGUUGUCCGGAAUUAUUGGGCGUAAAGAGCUCGUAGGCGGUCUGUCGCGUCUGGUGUGAAAUCCCGAGGCUCAACCUCGGGCUUGCAUCGGGUACGGGCAGACUAGAGUGCGGUAGGGGAGACUGGAAUUCCUGGUGUAGCGGUGGAAUGCGCAGAUAUCAGGAGAAACACCGAUGGCGAAGGCAGGUCUCUGGGCCGCAACUGACGCUGAGGAGCGAAAGCAUGGGGAGCGAACAGGAUUAGAUACCCCAGUAGUCCCUGUCUCUUAUAC
rnacentral:rRNA from 1 species